rnacentral:rRNA from 1 species
UGCCAGCCGCCGCGGUAAUACGAAGGGACCUAGCGUAGUUCGGAAUUACUGGGCUUAAAGAGUUCGUAGGUGGUUGAAAGAGUUAGUGGUGAAAUCCCAGAGCUUAACUCUGGAACUGCCAUUAAAACUUUUCAGCUAGAGUAUGAUAGAGGAAAGCAGAAUUUCUAGUGUAGAGGUGAAAUUCGUAGAUAUUAGAAAGAAUACCAAUUGCGAAGGCAGCUUACUAACAAUUAACUGACGCUGAGGGACGAAAGCGUGGGUAGCGAACAGGAUUAGAUA